AACGCGAAGAACCUUACCUGGGCUUGACAUGUGAGUGACCGCCGUGGAAACACGGCUUCCCUUCGGGGCACUUUCACAGGUGGUGCAUGGCUGUCGUCAGCUCGUGUCGUGAGAUGUUGGGUUAAGUCCCGCAACGAGCGCAACCCCCGUCGCAUGUUGCCAGCAUUUAGUUGGGGACUCAUGCGAGACUGCCGGUGACAAACCGGAGGAAGGUGGGGAUGACGUCAAGUCCUCAUGCCCCUUAUGUCCAGGGCUACACACGUGCUACAUUGGCGCGUACAGAGGGCUGCGAUACCGCGAGGUGGAGCGAAUCCCUUAAAGCGCGUCUCGGUUCGGAUUGCAGGCUGAAACUCGCCUGCAUGAAGGCGGAGUUGCUAGUAAUCGCGGAUCAGCAUCGCCGCGGUGAAUACGUUCCCGGGUCUUGUACACACCG
rnacentral:rRNA from 1 species